CGCGUAGGCGGGUCAGCAAGUCCGGGGUGAAAGCUUUCGGCUCAACCGGAAAAGGCCUUGGAUACUGCUGGUCUGGAGGAAGGUAGGGGCGUGUGGAACUUCCGGUGGAGCGGUGAAAUGCGUAGAUAUCGGAAGGAACGCCGGUGGCGAAAGCGACACGCUGGACCUUUUCUGACGCUGAGGCGCGAAAGCCAGGGGAGCAAACG
rnacentral:rRNA from 1 species